rnacentral:rRNA from 1 species
CAUGCAAGUCGAGCGAGAUACAGACGGAUUUAUUCGUUUGUAUGACAGCGGCGGACGAGCGAGUAACACGUGAGAAUUUGCCCCGUACUCAGGGAUAACAGCUCGAAAGAGUUGCUAAUACCGGAUGCCCUCGCAAGAGGAAAGAUUUAUCGGUACGGGAGAAGCUCGCGGUCUAUCAGCUAGUUGGUGGGGUAAUGGCCCACCAAGGCAAUGACGGAUAGCUGGUGUGAGAGCACGACCAGCCGCGAUGGAACUGAGACACGGUCCAUACUCCUACGGGAGGCAGCAGUAGGGAAUCUUCCGCAAUGGGCGAAAGCCUGACGGAGCGACACCGCGUGGAGGAUGACAGCCUAUGGGUUGUAAACUCCUUUUAUGGGGGAAGAAAAUUUGACGGUACCCCAUGAAUAAGCCUCGGCUAAUUCUGUGCCAGCAGCCGCGGUAAGACAGAAGAGGCAAGCGUUACCCGGAAUUACUGGGCGUAAAGCGUCCGCAGGUGGUAUGGUAAGUCUGUCAUUAAAUGCCUGUGCUCAACAUAGGCGCUGUGAUGGAAACUAUCAUACUAGAGGAGAGGAGAGGUAUGCGGAAUAGUGCAAGUAGGGGUAAAAUCCGUAGAUAUGCACUGGAACGCCAAAAGCGAAGGCAGCAUACUGGCCUUUUCCUGACACUCAGGGACGAAAGCGUGGGGAGCAAAACGGAUUAGAUACCCGUGUAGUCCACGCCGUAAACGAUGCGUGCUCGGUGUGGGGACCCUCGACCUGGUCCCCGUGCCCAAGGUAACCCGUUAAGCAUGCCGCCUGUGUACUACGGCCGCAAGGCUAAAACACAAAGGAAUAGACGGGGGCCCACACAAGCGGUGGAUCGUGGGGUUUAAUUCGAUAAUAAGCGAGUAACCUUACCUAGACUUGACAUCCCUAUCAUACCCUUCAGAGAUGAAGGGGUCGGUUCGGCCGGGAUAAGGUGACUAGGCGCUGCAUGGUUGUCGUCAGCUCGUGGCCUUGAAGGUGUUCGGUUAAGUCCGUUAACGAGCGCAACCCUGGUCGUGUGUUGUAUUUUCACGCGAGACUGCCGGUUUUAAGCCGGAGGAAGGUCAGGAUGACGUCAAAUCAG